AUUGAACGUUGGCGGCAGGCUUAACCCAUGCAAGUCGAACGAGUGGCGGACGGGUGAGUAAUGUCUAGGAAACUGCCCAAUUACGGGGGAUAACUGCUUGAAACGUUAGCUAAUACCGCAUACCAUCCGAGGGGCCCAGAUGGGAUUAGCUAGUUGGUGGGGUAACGGCUCACCUAGGCGACGAUCCCUAGCUGGUCUGAGAGGAUGACCGGCCACACUGGGACUGAGAAACGGCCCAGACUCCUACGGGAGGCAGCAGUGGGGAAGAUUGGACAAUGGGCGAAAGCCUGAUGCAGCCAUGCCGCGUGUGUGAAGAAGGCCUUCGGGUUGUAAAGUACUGUCGGCAGGGAGGCGUUACCCGAAGAAGAAGCACCGGCUAACUACGUGCCAGCAGCCGCGGUAAUAC
rnacentral:rRNA from 1 species